GUGAAUCAUCAAAUUUUUGAACGCAAAUUGCACUCUCCGGUUUUCUGGGAGAGAAUGCUUGUCUGGGGGUCAGUCUAACCACAAUCGCAAUUGUUGCUGUUUUAUGGUGAUUUUCGUCGGAGCCGGGUUAUCUUAAAUCUCGGUUUAAGCGGCUUAAAAAUUUUUUUUACGAUUCUAAGAAUUUUUAUAAGAUUUUUCUUGUCCGUUUAAGGUAUCGAAUGUAUUAUUAGACGUGACCAUCAUAUCGGAUCGCGUCCAACAUC
rnacentral:misc_RNA from 1 species